CUUUUCUCCUCUCUCUCUCUCGAUCCCUACCGCGAUGUUUGCCGAGGGCGGAGAGAGGGGCGUUCCGGGUGGCCGCCCCCUGGAUCUGAGUGCGGCGUCGAGGAUUUGGCCCAACUAUUUCCCGCAGGUGGAGUUCGCCUUGGAGGAUCGCAAGGUCAAGCUCGUCGCGUUGCUUGCUGAUUUCUUCUGCACACCCCAGGCCGAUCCUUUCCUUUCUCAGGUGCAAGAUGAUUGUGGCAACUUCUUUCUCCCCAUUGACAUGCAGCAUUUCCAGAAGGCAUGUGGAGUUGAUGAAUAUUAUGCCGUUUUGGAGGAAGCACCUAAGGAAGCUCUGUCAUGCAUGGGUGCUGCAGUUCACAUGGUUCUCUCAACAAAGAAGAUUAAUUAUCAUUUGGAGGACGCAGAGAAAAUAAACAUUAGGCUAUAUAACCACCCUGAUUCAAUGAUCACUUUAAAGAACUUGAAAGCUGCAUAUAUAGGGAAGCUAGUUUCAGUGCGUGGUUCUGUUGUCAAGGUCAGCACAACCAGACCUUUGGUUCUGCAGAUGGAAUUUGCAUGUGGAAAGUGUGGAACUGUUAUUGCGCGUGUAUUCCCUGAUGGAAAGUUUUCUCCUCCAGUAGCUUGCAGCAUCCAUGGAUGCAGGAGCAGAACUUUUAUGCCAAAUAGAUCUACUGCAAAACUGAUAGAUUUUCAGAAAAUAAGAGUCCAGGAACUUCUUAAAUCUGAAAAUCAUGAAGAGGGUCGGGUGCCUCGAACUGUUGAGUGUGAAUUGGCUGAGGAUCUUGUUGAUUCUUGCAUUCCUGGUGAUGUUAUAACAGUUACUGGAAUUAUAAAAGUAAUUAAUAAUUACAUGGACAUUGGAGGAGGAAGGUCCAAAAACAAGAAUCAGGGGCUGUAUUAUCUAUAUCUGGAAGCAGUUUCUGUUAGAAACUCAAAAUCUCAGAGUACUGAGGAUGUUCGUGUAACUAAUUCUGAAAGUGGAGCUUAUAUGCUGUUUGAUUUUUUUUCUUUUUCACCCAGAGAUCUUGAAUUUAUUGUGAAAUUCUCUGAGGAGCAUGGUUCUGACAUAUUCCGUCAGAUAGUUCAUUCUUUCUGCCCCUCUAUCUAUGGGCAUGAACUUGUGAAAGCUGGCAUUGUGCUUGCACUGUUUGGGGGGUUGCAAAAGCAUUCGGUGGAUCAAAACAAGGUCCCAGUUCGAGGAGAUAUUCAUGUCAUUAUUGUUGGUGAUCCUGGAUUAGGUAAGAGCCAACUCCUGCAAGCAGCAGCAGCAGUUUCCCCUCGAGGCAUCUAUGUUUGUGGCAAUGCAACUACUAAUGCUGGCCUAACUGUUGCUGUCGUUAAAGAUCCUAUGACAAGUGAUUAUGCAUUUGAGGCUGGUGCCAUGGUUCUUGCUGAUCGUGGGUUAUGCUGUAUUGAUGAGUUUGAUAAAAUGUCUGCGGAACAUCAGGCUUUACUGGAAGCCAUGGAACAACAAUGUGUCUCUGUUGCAAAGGCUGGAUUGGUGGCAAGUUUGUCAGCUCGUACCUCUGUUUUAGCAGCAGCAAAUCCUGUUGGCGGUCAUUAUAACCGGGCAAAAACUGUCAAUGAAAAUAUAAGAAUGAGUGCUGCUCUCCUCUCACGAUUCGAUUUGGUUUUCAUUUUACUGGACAAACCAGAUGAGCUGCUGGAUAAGCGUGUCUCUGACCAUAUAAUGGCACUUCAUACAAGGAAUUCAGAGCAUUUGUUUUCUACCAAGAAGCAACGCACAGCUAUGCAACCUGACAAGAACAUGGAGGUAGGUGUUCGUAUUGGUUCAUUGGGUUCAAGGUUGAGACUGGACCCGGUGAAAGACAAGGACUUUGUUCCCCUUCCUGGUCCUCUUAUUCGCAAGUAUAUUGCUUAUGCAAGAAACUUCAUCUCCCCUAGGAUGUCUAGACCAGCAGCUGAGAUUUUGCAGAAAUUUUAUCUGCAACUUAGAGAUAAUAGUACUUCAGCUGAUGGCACACCUAUCACUGCAAGGCAGUUGGAAAGCCUAGUGAGGCUUGCAGAGGCUCGUGCUCGAUUGGAUCUCAGAGAAGAAAUUACCGUUGAAGAUGCAAUGGACGUGGUCGAGAUAAUGAAAGAAUCCUUGUAUGAUAAAUAUGUUGAUGAGCGUGGUUUUGUCGAUUUUGCACGAAGUGGUGGGAUGAGUCAACAGAAGGAGGCAAAAAGAUUCCUGGGUGCUCUUCACAAACAGUCCGAGUUGCAGCAAAAAGAUUGCUUCUCAAUUUCUGAGAUAUACAGCUUGGCAGACAAAAUCAGUUUGCGGGUUCCAGAUAUAGAUACAUUUGUGGAAAAUUUGAACAGUGUAGGAUAUCUGCUUAAAAAAGGACCUAAGAUGUAUCAGGUUUUGUCUUCGUCAUACUCUCACAGUCAGUCAACAAGAUCAAGAUGCUAAUAGUUGCUUGAACAUUUAGAUUGUGGUAAAAGAGUUUCAAAGAGGACAGGUCUACCGAUAUAUUGCCAGUGCAAGGAAUACAAUAUUAGCUUGCUGAAAGUGUAUUCUGCGCAUCACAGUUGAUAGGGCUUAGCUUAGCCAAAUUUACUCAUUCAUGCUUUUCUGUUCAAUUCUCCAUCGUAAGUGUAUUCUGCUGCUCGUUUUUGCAUGAAAGAUCUGUAUUUUUCUUCUCCACCCCACCCAAAAAAAACUUCUUGAUUAUUUCCAUCGUUAAGACUUCUACCAUCAUCCAUCUAAACCCAUAUAAACCUGAACACAAAAAGAAAUGUCAUGAUUCAGCAAGCUUCAAGAAGCUGAUUUCAUUUCUUUUUUCUCUCUGGGUUGUCAUAACAUUACCACUAUUUAUAUUCCUUUUCUCUUUAUCCAUCGUCACUCAUCACCAUUACAAUAGCCAAAACCAUCUCCACUUCUGGACAGAGAGAGAGAGAGAGAGAGAGAGAGAGAGAGAGGUUUUCCUUUGGCAGCUCAUCUAUAGUAAUAAUGAAAUUUAUAUGGCUAUCGUGCCAU